UUUUUUAGUUGUAAUUCAGCAUUUCAGCUAAUUCUCCUUUUAAAAGUAAUAUGUGCUAGUUAUUUAUGUGUGUACAGACCAGAUUUGUGUGGGCUCAAUGCUGACUGGCUGCAUGUGUGUUUACAAUAGCCCUUGUGUUAUCCCAGACGGCAGCCUAAAAACACUUCCAAAUUAUUCCACAUCAGAAGCAAAGAGGGUUUGGAUAGACUCCUAGGGGAAAGUCUUGAAGUGUUGCCCAAACCUCAGUCCCAGUGCUGUAAGUCAGGCACGUGGCUGAUAUUUUAUCCACCCAACUUGGACUUUUGCAAGCUGUUUUGUAUGUGGAGGGAACAGGAACUUGGGAGCAAUUUUAAUCAGUGAUUUUUUGGAGAUGGGCUUCCUCCUAUCUUUUGUCCUCUUUCCUCUUGACACACAUGCGUGCACUCCGUCUGUCCGUGUUUUCUCAGAAAUGAUGGAAAAUAUGUGCACGUAAGCACAAUGGAGAGGCUGUUCUGUAACAACCCCCCACAGUGGGUAGGGACUGACCUGGUUCCAAUUUAUGCCUUUGGAGUGUUGCUGAUUUUAUGCGUAAAACACUUGAAUGGCUCUAGGUGGAUGUGCACUAGGGAUUUCAAGUUCAACUCUGCCAUUAAGGUUUGGUGUUUGUUGCUAAUGUCGCUGUGGGCUGGAAAGUUCAAAGCUGAAUGGUGCCGUAAUCACAAGCUGGUAAUGCUUCAGAAAGUGUCCCAGGCUUUGUCCUCCUAAGUGUCACAGUGGUAAUGAUUAAAGCUUUUAGACUGCAACAUCUGUGAAGGGGAAGUGAGUUUCUGAAGAACUGCUGCUCCUCGGGGUCCUCAGCCCUUGGGCAGGGAUCUCCUGGCUGCCCUGGGACUGCGGGAGCGCUGGAUUUUCCAGGUCCAAACCUCCAUGCUAAUGCCCUAGGAUGUGGUGUCUGGAUGCCAAAUGCUUCUCAGACAAGCUGAAAUUCCCAGGAACGUGAGUCACCAGCUCUGUAGCUCUCUCUCUCUGCAGGUCAGCAGUGGCCAAGAAUGUUGGGGGCUGGGGGGGAAUCCUCCAUCAUUUGGACAAAACCAAAACAACAAAACACACAUGCAAAACCAAAAACCAGUGUCUUGGUGUCUCAAAACCAAACUUCUACAGUGAGAUUUCAGUUCUAGAAAUAUCCACACUGUCUGCAUUUAAACUGAACUGAAGAUGACGUUGUUUUCCAAAGCUGCUGGUAUUAUUGUGGCUUGGAAACUUGGUGCCUGAGCCAGCUCUGAUUUUGCUCUUUGAGUUACUCAAGGAAUGGCACUCUUUGCUAUUUUAAAGAGUAAAUAUUGCUUUUUAAAAUGUAAUUUGAAACCUGUACACGCAUUGAUUUAGGAAUGCAAAAUGGUUUUAUUACUAUCUCAUCUCAAAACCUUUUCCUUGACUGUCUGUUACUCUGAAUUGCAAAAUGCAUUACAGAAACACAUCUGUCAUGCUUUAUAUUGUGAGAUAAGACAUGCUAUGGUUGUGCUCUGUCUCUGCCUCCUCCCCAGAGCAAUGCAGAAAUCAUAUAUAUAAUGUCAAACUUGGAAGUCAGGUGCAUCACACUUUACCCAUCUGAAUAUUGGCUAAAGCAUUGAAGAAGACAUGCUUUGGACCAAGAGGAGUCUUUCUUACAGAAACUGGUAAUUCUUUUAGUUGAACCUUGAGCAGAGAUCGUGCCCUGAGACUGAAAGAAAGAGCUGCACUUCUCUACAGGUGGCACAAAAGUUCAGAAGAGGGGCACCUGGAAGGAGCAUUUUGUCACUCAUGGCAACAAGAGUUAUUAUUGCCAGGUCGAAUAUUUCACGACUGUUUAGCACUUGAUUUUGCAGUUCUGCCAUUCUUUUAGUAUUAGUUCAUGGCUUGUCCUAGUACAGCCACAUGGACAUUGCAGCAACAGCUUUCAUUACAAGCCUUAAACUGUCCUUUAAAGGAACUUUCUCCCCCAAACGCAGAGGCAGUCAGGAUUCUGCGAAGUAAACUCUCAGAGUUAAAUUAUUUUGAUAGGAGAAACCUGUAGUGAUUGCCCACUGUGCUGCAGAGGCUCUGAGCAUUUUGUCCACUUUGGGAUACAUAUACUUAUGAAGUCACCUCAAGGAAAACAAAACAAAACAAAACAAAACAAAACAAACAAACAAACAAACAAACAAACAAAAAAAAACAGGUAAAGUUUACCCUGGCUUGCAAUGAAAUUUCACAGACACUAGGCACAGCACAAGCAGAGCAACCCACUAGGCAGAUCCCAAAACUUUGAGCCUGGAAGAAAGUGAACAACUAAUCGCUGGACUCCCCAAGAUUCACCCUAUCCCAUUUUUUUCCCUGCACAGUGUGAACACAUCAUUCUAGAAGGAAAUGUAUUUGAUGCUCAAGAUCACUUGACUCCAGGGUCUGGAGCUUUGAGACUCUUGUCUUUUACUCUGCAGCGUUUUAACAGAAAUUCAGGAAUCCUUCAGUGCUGAGUGACCUUAAAGAGAAAAGCAAUUUUCGCUCUGGAGCGUGUGCCAAUUCUUUUACUCAUUAGGGCAAUGAAGCUUUUAUCACUCGUGCAGUAAUGAUGCAUUUUUAGAGUAUUUCACACCUACUUUAAAUCUCAGUAAAGACCAUGGAACUUCUUUGGUCAUGGCCACAUGGUAUCUAUUGUUAAGCAGACUGUUAAAAUGAAUCAACCUAGAUUAAGCAGCCAAAAUUACCACUUGCUAUCACUACCCCAAAUCCAUUCCCUCAGAGACAGCCCCAUAAAGAGGCUGAACACUGAUUAAACACUUCUCUGCCAAGCAGAGUCCAAAAAAAUCUGGCAAGAAUUGUGUGCAGAAAGCUCAGAAAAAAAUAUGUAAGAGACGUAAAGGGCUUGAUGCAUCAAUCUGCUUGAAUCCAAACCAUCCCCUGCUGCAAAAUCCUUCGUUAGAGAUCCUUCCAUCUGCCUGAUGAGAGCUUCUGUAUUCUGGCCCUGAAUUUUCUUGCUCUUUCCCCAGUGGCAUUAUCUUGUGAGUUCAUUAUUAUUGCUGGCUGUAAUUCACACUCCAGUACUCAGUGCUAUUAGCAAAAAGAGAAAAAAAUGCUCAGUACAUGGCCUUGAUUUGCCUCAGAGUUCAAAGCAGAGGCUUAAACUCCUUGGAGGAUGCGGCUGCCCAGGGCAGGGGUGCAGGCAGGAGGCUCAGCCCUCGUGCCUUCAGAUAGGCUUGCUGCCAGAGGGGGGCAAGGAGCAUCUUUUUUUGUCACCUUUCCCAAAGCCCCACCUCAACAGAAGCAUCCUUAGAAGGUCCUUUUGGACUGGACAGGCUGGAUCCUCAAGUGGGAGAGUGAUGCUUUGUGCUAGCCGAAUUUCUGGCUCUACAGCCUCCAAAAGAAGCUCAUGGCUUGUGAAAAGCUGAAGGAAAUUGGAAAUUAUUGAUAAUGAGACUUUUGGACAACUACAUUUGAAAUGCCGAUACUUGAAAGAUGUGAAAUAUAUGGUGCUGAUGGAAACCCAACAAUCAUUAUAUCAAAGCCUCCUUCUUCUUCCCCCUGACAUUGAUGCUGGUGUAAGUCUGCUCCUGGCCCAUCCCAGGCUGCUGUGUGUGCUGCUGCUGGCCCUUGCUCAGCGGAGAUGCCCAGGUUUCCUUCUGAAAGCGCUGCCACACAAAACCCAAAAAGCAUGUGGGUCCUCCAGCUUCCUUGGAGUCAGCCAGCCUUGCAUUUUCCGCAGCGGGCUGAUGCCACACUGGUUUAAAAGCUGCAAUGCUGAAAGGCAAACAAAGGAGAGGAUUAGACCAAACUAGCUCCAGAGCACACAUCGCACAUACUAAUGUCGUACUGAAACAGAAGAAGGCUGCAAAAACACUGCCCGUGCUUCACUGCUUUCUGAAACCCUGCCUCCUUUUGCCCAUCAGAUAGGGUGUAGUCUGCAUUGCUAAAGGAACCAAGCUAACGAAGUUAUAGUUUAUUGCUUUGGAAAAUAAAACAGUACCACUGGAAGGAUACAGCUUGUAUAGAAAUGGUGCUUGGCCAUCUGUAUGAUCACUGGACUCUCCUCCUGAGAUUGUUCAGGGGAAAGCACUCAGCCUUGCCAGUGUUCCCACACAGAUGGGUCUGCAUCUCCAAGCAACAGCCUCGAGCCACUUGACAGCCUGAAUUUCAUCUCAGCCAGGAGACAGCAGAAUAGAAGUCAGUCUUGGUCUCAGAUGAAGCACGUGGGAUUUCUCAGCACGUCUGAGGUUUCCGUGGUUUAUCCUUGCCAGCCCUCCUGCAAACACCACCGUCCUGCUUGAGUUCUGCACUGGGAGCUAUGGGAUGGCAGCCAGAUUUGAGGAUAAAAUGGUGGGAAGAUGCUGAAACCAGGUCUCAGCUGGUGCAAAGCCCCGGAGCACCUUCCCUGCCCUUGCCAGGGAUCUGACUGCAGGUGCCCACAUCGAUUUGACCUGCUGUAAAUGAAACCUGCAUCCUGAGGGCUGACUUUCGCCCCGGCAGACACCCAUCCCGCAUCCCCGGUAAUGAAUGGGAGGCUGCAGAGCGCCUGUCAGGGCAGAAUUUGCCCUUCAGUGUCAAUAACUUCUCUGACGGCCUAUUUACGCUUUCAUCUCCCGGCCCUUACUGCUGAUUUAUGCAGCUUGCGGAGCUGAGUGAUGUGGCAGCUGCAGGGAGGAAGAGAUGAGAACCAGAAACCCUGCAGGCUUCCUAGGAGCCGUGUUCCCCAGUAAUAAAUCUCCGAUGGAGGAAAGCCUGCUCUGAUCCCCCGUGCGUGCUCUGCUGUGCCGCUCCUGCAGCGGGGACGGGACCCAACUCCCAGAUGCUGCUCUCCGAAAAGAGAUGUGCCUCUUUGUUCCUUUCCUCCCCAGCUUUCCAGCAGGCUGGAGCCAACAACUCUUGGCUGGAAGAUGCUGUCGACUCACCCGUCUCCUGCCGUAUUCAGCUGUCAGCAGCUCCCACCAAGAGGCAUUCUCCCUCUGUCACGCAUGAGCACACGCGUGUAGAGCUCCCCAGGCACGGGCCGGAGCAUGUGGGGAUCACAAAGGAGCGGGGACCACAAAGAAAUGCCGUAUCUGCCAAGCCCGAGAUGGGGGGUACAAAUUGCUGCCGAUGGAGAUGUGCUUCGCCCCAUAGAGCUCAUGGAGCUGGGCUGCGAAUCCCACCCUGGGGGCUCCGGGAUGUCUCCGGCACCACCAUGGGAGACUUUUGAUCCUUAUGUUGUGGGAGUGAGGCUGGUGGAAGCGGUGGGCAGGAUGAGGUUAGGUGAUUGCUGUCCCUAAAAGUGUGCUGCCUGUCACCUGAACCUGCUGUCACCCUCCUGGUGGUCCCUGGUGGAUCACAGGGUGGUGGGAUGGAGCCCACCUCAUCAUCUUCUCCUAGGACACAUGAGAACAGGGAUGGGGAUGAUGAUCCCCAUCAUUUUCAUUAUUUAAGUGAAACAGGAGGGCAGCAAUAAUGUCCUUUAAUGGGGAAACACACUGAUGGAGCACAGCAGAACUAAUACCAAACACACCACUUGUUGCUGUGACCGUUCCCUUUCCCAUUCUCCUGAAUUACCUAUCGAGCAUUUCCUAAAUUUGCUUGCAUGCUAAAAUAACUGAGUAAUUAACUUUUUAUUUUUAUUUUUAUUUUUUAUUUUUUUUUCCAAGGAAAUGAGUUAUUCUCUAAACUGGAAGGCCUUCUCCCAUUUGUGGUUUUCUUUAUCAGAUUACCAAUUUCCUUUCCCAAAGGGAUUACAAGCUAUAUACCAGGAUCUCUCUGCAGGGGAGCAGAUAAACAAAUGAAACAUGCAAAUUGCUUGAAUUUUCAGUGGGUUAAAAUAAGCUGUAGUGAAAAAAAAAAAAAAUUAUUAUUAUUAUUUUUAACCAACUUCUUACUGAAUGCACAGUCUGGCUUCUGGCAUCUGAACUUUUAACAUGGAAACGAAAACCUACAGCUGUUAGCACUGUUAGAGGCUGGCCAUGUUUCCUCUCCUUUACAGUGUUGUUAGGUCUGUCAGCUCCUCGGGUAAGUUUGCUUGGGUCCUUGCCCCAUCUCCUGACACUUCCCCAUGGCCUUCUCCAAUCCUGCCCUGCAAAUGGGAGACGGUUUGUCUCAGAGUGAAAAAGUGGUUCUGCCCAAGCAGAAGGAUGUCCAUCCAGGAGGAUGUUUCAAGCAGAACGUCUCUGGAGAGGGUCCUAGGGAAUGUUUGCUCUCCUCUAAUGGGGAAUUUUGGUGGUGCUGGUGAGAAAUGUGGGGUUUCAUCUGCAGCCACCAGGUGUCACCUGCCAGGUUUGGUUUGUGGGGUUAUACUUGGCCCAAGAAUGGCCUUGGCAAUGCUGGUGUGGGUCCCAUGUGCAUGUGGCACUAACAAGGUGACCGGGAUAAAGCCUUUUUCCCACUACAAACCUGCUAUCCACAUCCAAACCAGAGGUGGCAUCUGUAGCCGUGGCUAUGGAUGGGGUGCAGGUGGUCCAUGUUGUGCCUCCUCCUUCUGGCUGCUGAAAAUCAUGAGAGGCUCCCCUGGGACUGGGAUUUAACACCCGGCUCGUGCUCAGGAUUGCUCAGCUCAUGUGCUUCAGCUGUUCCUGCUCGUGGUCUGUCCCCAACAAACCCGUGCUCGAGGUGUGCACAUCCAGCAGUGCAGGGCUGAAGACCAGGAGAGGCACAGGAUGUCUUCCAGGUACUUCUCAGCUUGGGAAAGGGAAGGAAACCCCACCUUCUGAGUCCCAAAUCCAGGCUUUGGGGUCUGGGCUGUCCAUUUAUAAUAAUCUAUAGGCUCACUCUGCUCUUCUAGAGAAGACAGCUGGCAUGGUUUCAGUGCAGAAGUUGAAGUUCAGGGUUAAGAAGCCAAGCGGAGUUAGCACCCUGAUGAUUUCUGAUUUCUGAAGGCCUUCAGUCUAUUAAUUUAUGAGAAAAAAAAAUAAAAUAAAGAAAGGUGGAUUGAAAUGAAGAAAAGCGAUGCAGUCCAGCCCGAGCCCUGUGCCUGGGGAGCUGGGGAAAAGGUGUCCCAUCUCUUGGUGUGGUGCCACGAGGCAGGCGGAGCUCAUCCAUCACACUGAGGCACGCACCCCAGCCUUCUAAUUAGUGAAUAUAACCGGGGGUUUUGGAGCUCAAACUGGUUCUGACCUGUGUUUUUUAAUUAAGGCAUUUUUUAAUAUAACCCCUGCUUCGGGUCAUCUGAUAAUACUGAUCUGGAUGUAA